AUGCUUAAAAUAGAUUUGGCCAAAGCUUUUGAUAGACUAGAAUGGAAUUUCACUAUGCAAGCUCUCUUUCGAAAAGGGCUUCAUAGUCACUAUAUAUCAAUUUGAUUUAUGCUUGUAUUGCAACUCCUUUUUUCUGUUACUAUUAAUGGCCAUUCUUACGGCCACUUCCAGAGUUGCAGGGAGGUUAAACAAGGAUGUCCAUUAUCUCCUUACUUGUUUGUCGUAGUAAUUAACGAGCUUUCUAUAUCUCUCCAAGAGGCCAUGUGCUCAAGUCGUGUGAUAGGCAUAUCUUUAGGCCCUGGUUGUCCAUCCAUCCACUCACUCUUGUUUACAAAUGAUUUAUUAAAUUGCGCUCAAGCCACCAUUACUGAAGCUACUCAGAUGUUUCAUAUUCUUCAGAGAUUCUGCAACCUUUCAGGUCAAACUCCUAGUUGGAAUAAAUCAGGUAAUUUUUAG
rnacentral:rRNA from 1 species